rnacentral:tRNA from 1 species
GGGCUUGUAGUCCAGUUGGUUACGACGCCUCUUUGACGACUACAGUUUCUUUUAGCAGAGAAACUGUUGGCAGUUUCAAUGCCACUGAAAAUCGUGUGGAUUUUCAUUGGAAAGAGAAACUCCGAGGUCAAAAUGGAGGAGAUCCCAGGUUCGAAUCCUGGCAGGCCCA